GACGAACGCUGGCGGCGUGCUUAACACAUGCAAGUCGAACGGAAAGGCCCUGCUUUUGUGGUGUUCUCGAGUGGCGAACGGGUGAGUAACACGUGUGUAACCUGCCCUUGACUUUCGUAUAACUUCACGAAACUGGGGCUAAUACCGGAUAGGAGCUCCUGCUGCAUGGUGGGGGUUGGAAAGUUUCGGCGGUUGGGGAUGGACUCGCGGCUUAUCAGCUUGUUGGUGGGGUAGUGGCUUACCAAGGCUUUGACGGGUAGCCGGCCUGAGAGGGUGACCGGCCACAAUGGGACUGAGAGACGGACCAGACUCCAACGGGAGGCAGCAGUGGGGAAUAUUACACAAUGGGCGGAAGCCUGAUGCAGAAACGCCGCGUGCGGGAUGACGGCCUUCGGGUUGUAAACCGCUUUCGCCUGUGACGAAGCGUGAGUGACGGUAAUGGGUAAAGAAGCACCGGCUAACUACGUG
rnacentral:rRNA from 1 species